GAUGAACGCUAGCGGCAGGCUUAAUACAUGCAAGUCGAGGGGCAGCAGGUUUGUAGCAAUACAGAUGCUGGCGACCGGCAAACGGGUGCGGAACACGUACGCAACCUUCCUUUAACUGGAAGAUAGCCCACCGAAAGGUGGAUUAAUACUCCAUAAUAUAACUGAAUGGCAUCAUUUAGAUAUUAAAGCUCCGGCGGUUAAAGAUGGGCGUGCGUCUGAUUAGGUAGUUGGCGGGGUAACGGCCCACCAAGCCUACGAUCAGUAGCUGAUGUAAGAGCAUGAUCAGCCAGCCGGGCACUGAGACACGGGCCCGACUCCUACGGGAGGCAGCAGUAAGGAAUAUUGGUCAAUGGACGCAAGUCUGAACCAGCCAUGCCGCGUGGAGGAUGAAGGCCCUCUGGGUUGUAAACUUCUUUUCUUUGGGACGAAACCCCUGUUUCUACGGGGACUGACGGUACCAGAGGAAUAAGCACCGGCUAACUCCGUGCCAGCCGCCGCGGUAAGAC
rnacentral:rRNA from 1 species